ensembl:lncRNA
ACAUAUAACAAACACAUCUAUUUAAAUGUUGUAGGUACAACUAUUUUAUAGGCCUGUUUGACUGUAAACUUAAUCUAUCGAUUGUAUUAUUAUCAAUAACUAACAAUAUUAAAUAAACUCAUGUUUUCUAUCUUCCUCAUGGAACCCCAAAGACUGUGAUCUCAUUUAAGACAAAUAGCUCUACAACAGCUGCAUGGAACACUUGGCAAUAAGCAAUCAAAACAUUCAGUAAAUAUAUUACUAAACAUAAACCUUUAUUGAAAUGCAUAAAAUGUUUAUCAAAAUAAAAUAAAACUCUUAGGCAACAGCAUUAACAUGUCUAAUGUUAUUGUAAUUAUUUACUUUAAUAAAAAAAACUAAAUAGUAUAUAAAAAAUUUUUUGUCACACAUAUCACCUUCCGACUUUAUAUAUAUAUAUAUAUAUAUUUUUUUUUUAAAUAUAUUUUAUUGGAUAUUUAGGCCUAGGUCUAUAAGUUAUGUGAUGGGGUGGCAGGUAGCCUAGUAGUUAGAGCGUUGGACUAGAAACUGAAAGGUGUCCCCGAGCUGACGAGCUGACAAGGUACACAUCUGUCGUUCUGCCCCUGAACUCUUCCUAGACCGUGAUUUAAAAUAAGAAUGUGUUCUGAACUGACUUGCGUAGUUAAAUAAAGGUUUAAAAAAAUAGUUGAUUAUUUACGAUUUUUUUUUUUUAUAUAUGUGGAUUUGUAUAAGUUAUCUUUAGGUCCCGUAUAUCAGAUGGACAUCCACGCGUCUCGUGGCGCACACAGGCCUCCCAGUCCACCCGCACUUAUAGAUCAGGAAGAGCUUGUAGCUAAGGGAAACGGGAUGCUUCCGGCUCGGAGGGGGGAAACCCACCGCUGGACUGGUCUGCUGCCUCGUCACAAGGGACCCGGCUCAGAGGGGAAACCCAACGCUGGACCGGCCGCGUCUGCUGCCUCGUCACAAGGGACCCUCUGCACUCUUUCAUGCCGCUCGUGAUUCUUUGCUUUCUUUCUCCCUCUAUCCACACAGUGAUCGGUAUCGGCCCCUCUUUCAGGGCUGGGCCCUCUGGGGGUGGGGGGUGGUGGUGGGUUGGGCUUCAGCUUUACUAAAGACUCUGUGUUUCCUUCUGCCGUCAGAUGAACAGGGGAACUGUUAGUUUUGAAUCUGUGUGAAUGUUACCCAUGACUCUUCAAAAAUGAUAUAGGUGAUACUGUUGGAUGAAAUGAUUUGUACGUUCUGUCGUGAUCUAACCGUCCUCUAUUACAUCACGGAAACACAUUUCUUUCAAUAAAGACUCAAUGAAUCUAUUUCAUUUUGUCUCAUUAGCCUAUAGGUGUGUAUAACUAGUCAAAUACAUUAUAAUAUAAUGUAUCACAUGUUCAUUGAGUGUUCUGUGGUACGCUAUUUUCUGUACUGUAGGGAACCGUGUUCCAUUUUGGAGUGCAGCCUGAGUGUUGUGCUAGCCGCUAGCCAGGUUGGGGUGAGAGGUUUUGGGCUAACACUCCCUAGCCAUGCUAACCCUUACCCCAGUAGAAACAGCACAAGCCCUCCACCGUCUGCACAUCCACCCCCAGCAAAAAGACAAAAACAGAAACAGGGCUUUGAAGAGAAGCAUAACACUCAGACCCACACUCACAUGAGUCCAUCCUCCCCCAUCUCCCCCAUCUCUCCCUCCCAUACCUCCAUCUCCCCCAUCUCUCUCUCCCUCCCAUACCUCCAUCUCCCCCAUCUCUCCCUCUCAUACCUCCAUGUUGCCCAUCUCUCUCUCCCUCCCGUACCUCCAUCUCCCCCAUCUCUCUCCCUCCCGUACCUCUAUCUUCCCCAUCCCCUCAUCCACAACACUCCGGCAAAACUAUUACUUGACGGUAAUAGUGCUCACUGUUGCCUCUAGCGGCUGGUUUUGAAGGCAUUUCCCGACGUCUUCAGGACAGCGAUAGACGUCUAAUUUCAACGCCAAUCUUGAACGACCCGGUUGGUAUGUUCAGAUGAAGACCCGGAUUCAAUGUAAUGUGACAGAGCUACACUCUAAAACAUCCCCCAACAUGCCUUCUAAAGGCCUUUCCCCGCAACGGAAAAAACAACAUUUAGGCUGAAGUGUCAAAUUCAAAUGAAAUUAAAUUAAAUUUAAAAAAGCUGUUAUAGUGGUUUUCAGUCUUGGUCAAAGAGUUUGAUCAAUCUAUGAAUGAAGACAAAAAACAACGAAAACAAAAAACACGUUGUUUGAUCUGGUAUUGGUCGAGAGUCUGUUAUCAUUCUUUUUAAAAAAUGUAAUAAAUGAAAUCAAUCAACAAAUCAAAACAUUGUUCAACUUUUCUCCGACAUAUUAACC